CAGCAGUGACUUCACUAAGGUUGGCCCGUGCCUCAAGCCGGGCCAGAACUGAAGCUAACGGAGGAGAUUACUGGAGAUCCCCUGCACGGAAUGGGACAAUGGAGUGUUCGGAAGGAUUGUAAGCUGCAGGACCAAAAAGACUCACUCUACAUGCGAAUCAAGGUGUUGUACUCUUAGCACAACACUAUAUGCAGAACAAGUUAAUCGCAUUAUGUCUGAGAAGCCUUCUCUUGGCUGUAGGCCACCUCCAUAGAAGACAAGGAUUAAAUGCUGAAUGUGCAGACAGAAGAAAAAAAAAUCACUUUCAUACAGG